GGGCCGCCGGCAGCCUUAACAUGCAAGUCGAACGGUAGCACGGACAUCUUGCUGCUGGGUGAUGAGCUGACGGAUGAGUGAUGUAUGUCAGCGAGACUGCCAGAUGGAGAGGGAUACCCACAGGCGUCGCUAACUCCUACCACACCCUGCCGCGGAACCCAAGAGAUCGACCUACCUUGCUCUUGUCAACCGAUGUACCUCGAAGUAAUUAGCUGGUGGGUGAACUGAUCGCUCACGUAACCAACCAUCCCUGGCUGGACAGAAAGAACGACCACCCUGGCAGUGACAGACACACCGUACUCACACCGAAGGCAGGCAUGGGUGAUUUUGAAUGCUGGGUGAGACCCUGCCCGAUGCAUCCCUGCUGCGUGAAUAAAGACUGCCUUCUGGUUGUCACUU
rnacentral:rRNA from 1 species